AGAGUUUGAUCCUGGCUCAGGAUGAACGCUGGCGGCGUGCUUAACACAUGCAAGUCGAACGAAGCACCUUGAUUUGAUUCUUCGGAUGAAGAUCUUGGUGACUGAGUGGCGGACGGGUGAGUAACGCGUGGGUAACCUGCCUCAUACAGGGGGAUAACAGUUAGAAAUGACUGCUAAUACCGCAUAAGACCACAGCACCGCAUGGUGCAGGGGUAAAAACUCCGGUGGUAUGAGAUGGACCCGCGUCUGAUUAGGUAGUUGGUGGGGUAACGGCCUACCAAGCCGACGAUCAGUAGCCGACCUGAGAGGGUGACCGGCCACAUUGGGACUGAGACACGGCCCAAACUCCUACGGGAGGCAGCAGUGGGGAAUAUUGCACAAUGGGGGAAACCCUGAUGCAGCGACGCCGCGUGAGCGAUGAAGUAUUUCGGUAUGUAAAGCUCUAUCAGCAGGGAAGAAAAUGACGGUACCUGACUAAGAAGCACCGGCUAAAUACGUGCCAGCAGCCGCGGUAAUACGUAUGGUGCAAGCGUUAUCCGGAUUUACUGGGUGUAAAGGGAGCGUAGACGGAGUGGCAAGUCUGAUGUGAAAACCCGGGGCUCAACCCCGGGACUGCAUUGGAAACUGUCAAUCUAGAGUACCGGAGAGGUAAGCGGAAUUCCUAGUGUAGCGGUGAAAUGCGUAGAUAUUAGGAGGAACACCAGUGGCGAAGGCGGAUUGCUGGACGAUAACUGACGGUGAGGCGCGAAAGUGUGGGGAGCAAACAGGAUUAGAUACCCUGGUAGUCCACACUGUAAACGAUGAAUACUAGGUGUGCGGGGACUGACCCCCUGCGUGCCGCAGUAAACACAAUAAGUAUUCCACCUGGGGAGUACGAUCGCAAGGUUGAAACUCAAAGGAAUUGACGGGGGCCCGCACAAGCGGUGGAUUAUGUGGUUUAAUUCGAAGCAACGCGAAGAACCUUACCAGGGUUUGACAUCCUGCUAACGAAGUAGAGAUACAUUAGGUGCCCUUCGGGGAAAGCAGAGACAGGUGGUGCGUGGUUGUCGUCAGCUCGUGUCGUGAGAUGUUGGGUUAAGUCCCGCAACGAGCGCAACCCCUAUUGUUAGUUGCUACGCAAGAGCACUCUAGCGAGACUGCCGUUGACAAAACGGAGGAAGGUGGGGACGACGUCAAAUCAUCAUGCCCCUUAUAUCCUGGGCUACACACGUAAUACAAUGGCGGUCAACAGAGGGAAGCAAAGCCGCGAGGCAGAGCAAACCCCCAAAAGCCGUCCCAGUUCGGAUUGUAGGCUGCAACUCGCCUGCAUGAAGUCGGAAUCGCUAGUAAUCGCGGAUCAGCAUGCCGCGGUGAAUACGUUCCCGGGCCUUGCACUCACCGCCCGUCA
rnacentral:rRNA from 1 species